ensembl:snRNA LOC120095725 U7 small nuclear RNA
GAGCAAACACGGCUCUUUGAGAAUUUUUUUCUAGCAGGAUUUCUGACUUUGGUCAGAAAAAUCCAAG